UUUUAGCUGACGAGUUCGACAUAAGACGAAACACGUGUCCUGGAU
rnacentral:hammerhead_ribozyme from 1 species